GUUGCACAUUGAUCACUUUAUUUGCACAAUAUUGCACAAAUUAUUUUCACUGUUUUGAGUCUUAAAGGCACAGCGCACUUUAAUUUUUCAUUGUUUUUACAUAGGUGGUUGAGCUUUUACACGAUAUAUAGUGCUGCUUAUUGGUAUAGAUUAUAGUUUUAAAUUCAGCGCCAUAACAUUACUUGUGCGUUUUAUCACAUUGUAUUUACGCUACCUACACGGUAUGCUGAAUCUGACUACCAGCGGAGAUACCGUGGAUUAUACUACUACUCCGCUACACACCUUAAUGAACAUGCGAUGAGGCCUGCCAGGCUGGGAAUGUAUCCUUAACACAAACUCCUAGAUUAAGAGUAUCUUUAACUGCACAGAUAUUCACAUCAAUGAGAUACUGGCCUAUAUGACCGGCACCGUUGUAGAAUGAUCCCCUUGGAAUAUGCCAUGGCCAAUAAUCGAAGGCAUGUGUUCAGUACCCCUAAAUUAAGACUGGUAUAGACAAUAAUUGAAGGCACGGGUUUAAUAUCCAUACCCCUAGAUUAAGAUUGGUGUAGACAUGCCAUGGCCAAUAAUUGAAGGCACGUGUUUAAUAUCCAUACCCCUAGGGCUAGAUUAAGACUGGUGUAGACAUUCCAUGGUCAAUAACUGAAGGCACGGGUUUAAUAUCCAUUCCCCUGGAUUAAGAUUGGUGUAGUCAUGCCAUGGCCAAUAAUCGAAGGCAUGUGUUCAGUACCCCUAAAUUAAGACUGGUAUAGACAAUAAUUGAAGGCACGGGUUUAAUAUCCAUACCCCUAGAUUAAGAUUGGUGUAGACAUGCCAUGGCCAAUAAUUGAAGGCACGUGUUUAAUAUCCAUACCCCUAGGGCUAGAUUAAGACUGGUGUAGACAUUCCAUGGUCAAUAACUGAAGGCACGGGUUUAAUAUCCAUUCCCCUGGAUUAAGAUUGGUGUAGUCAUGCCAUGGCCAAUAAUCGAAGGCAUGUGUUCAAUACUAAUAUCCCUGGAUUAAGACUGGUGUAGGCUAAGACAAAAUAAGUUUGCUUUGUUAAAGUGGAACUGUCACUUCUCUGGUACUAUAACAUUAAAACUGGAGUUAACCUUUUAACAUGUGAUGCUGUGUUCUUUUAAAUGUACAAGAGUUAGCAAAUUACAUCACAAUCCAGUUUAGUCAAGGCACAGCCAAGGAACACACCGAGAAGGCGUUAGAAAAAUAGAAGCAAUGUUUUUCUCUUGCUCUGUGCUGACUGACAGGUGCAGAAGGUGGAGCUUAUAACAAUGAUCGACAGAGAGACAAGAUGGGAGCACUCCAUUCCAGAAUAGCGGUAACUACAAUGGCAAGGAUUACUAUAUCCAAGCUUAUUUUUCAGACUUUACAAACAUAAUAUUAAUAACCCUGGGAAAUGACAGUUCUUUUAAGCUCAACACCAAUGGAUACUUUAAACGAGCCUGCAUGCAUUGUGCCUGUCCUGCGACCCCGAAGCAACCAUGGUUGCAUCUUGUAAUCAGAAAAUCCCAUAUUGCAGUGUAGAAAACAUGGCAAACAUUUUUUUGUCCUUUGUUAUUGUUAAUGGUAUCAAACUGCAUGUGUGUCCUGUAAAGGAAUACUGUAACCAUUUCAUCUCAUUUAACUAGUUAUAGGGUCUGGUCCCCCUGGCUCUGUCCCUCCAUUCAGUGUUAAACCAAUUUUGAGCUGUUACACAAAAUAUAGACCCUGGCCCCACACAGCCCGGCACACCCUGGAGGUAUGGCCAAUGCAAAAAUUCAACACUAUCUUCUAGCUGUACAAAUGCAUACCAGCAAUAGGUGCUGUGAUGGGGUGAAAGCAGGCAGCUGACACAGCCACUCAUUACGGCUCAGGCUGAUGCUCCCUUAUUAACCCAAGCAGCGCAGAGGGAAUGGAUUGCUAGGACUUUUAUUUACAUUUCAAAGCUAAAUGGAAAGAGAGCACCAGGGAUCUCCAGAUACUAUAAUCACUUUAAUAAAAAAAAAUAUUAAGCAGUUACAGUGCCUACACCGUUUAAAAGAGACCAUGAACAUGUAACCAUGGGAUAAUCAGUUAGGAUUUUCAGGUGGAUAUAAUCUUCCCAACGGGAAUUGUGUGUGUGUGUGUGUGUGUGUGGACAUUAGCAUUUGACAGUUAACAAGCAAAUCUAACCCCUUCUAUAUGAGCAAGUGCUCCCCCAGACUGACACAGACAGGUCUCAGACCAUCAGCAUUUACCUUCUCAAUGGAUGGAUACCUUGGACCCUUUCCAAUUGACUUGGUUUUACUACUGGUAACAUAGAAUGUACGGUGUCAUUUUAAUGCUUUGUCAAUAAAAGCAACAUUUUAAUUUAA
rnacentral:lncRNA from 1 species